rnacentral:lncRNA from 1 species
CGAAAACUCCAUUUAUUGUCUACGCACCCUUUCAACCAAAAUUUAUAAGUUACGACAUGUCGCAACUAACAAUUUAGUAAAAAUAAUUUGUCGAUAUCUUAUAAGGUUAAUGAAAAUGAGUGAAAAUAAGCCAAAAUCAAAAUUUAAAAUAUGACCUUGACCUUUGACCUUGACCUAAUUUUCAUUUUUUUGGACCAAGGAUCUUAAAUCAAAAGACCCUAGGUCUCUAUCACUUAUGGUUUACCAGUUAGAAAUGCAUAUCACUUAUAUCAUAUACAAAAAGGG